UAGGGAAUCUUCCACAAUGGACGCAAGUCUGAUGGAGCAACGCCGCGUGAGUGAAGAAGGGUUUCGGCUCGUAAAGCUCUGUUGUUAAAGAAGAACGUGGGUAAGAGUAACUGUUUACCCAGUGACGAUAUUUAACCAGAAAGCCGCGGCUAACUACGUGCCAG
rnacentral:rRNA from 1 species